UAGUAGCUGUCACAUAGUUAAUGCUAGUAUUAAUAUUAGUAGGAAUAUAAGAAUUAUUAUGAUGAUGGAAGUAGUAAUUAGUAGAAAAUUAAAACAUUCAGUAAUUUCAAUAAAAAGAAUGACAGUUUUAUUAAUACAAUAGAAUAUAUACACUUAAAUACGGACACCAACAGAUACAUAAACAUAAGGCUGCAUCUGAUUUUUCUUAUGCCCAACUCUUCUCUCAGCACAUUUGUACUUUGUCAUACAUGCACACUAAGAUAUUUCAUAAAAAUGGGUAGAAAAAGGAAGUCUGCAGUAUUAACUCAAAGUAAUAGUACCAAAAAAAUUGGUGGUAGGUAAAACAGAGUCUCCUACCCUCUGCCAAGUUAUUCAGCACAGUUAUUUCCUCCAAAACAGACAACUGGACUUGAAAGACUAUGAUGUAACUGGCAGGCAGAAUACUAUGUAAUGAAAUUGGUGGAGAAAGUGUGUUUCAAGAAAUCAAAAGAGAUAAACCACAAAUCUCUUUCCAUAGUCAAGGAGCAGAAUAUGGAGGAAAAGCUGGAUAAAAUUUUUGACAUUUCUGUUCGUACCUGUAAGCUACUAGUUUGUCCUUGUGAUGAUAAUGCUGUGAAAUGCAAGAAAGAAAAUUCUGAAGCUCAGCACAUAAUUUGCACAUGUCCUCCCAGUAAGAAGGUAAAGCUAUUUUUUAAACUUUUAACUAAUCUUACUGAGCUUGAUUAGUUGCCUUUAAAAUAGAAGAAAAUCUCAUGUAUGCAAUUAGAAAAUAUACACAUUUUCCUCCUGUAAUCUACCUUUCCCCAUUGGUAUAAAAAAUUAAUUAUUAAUUUUUUCAUGAUUUUAUCUCUUAUUUUAAAUCUACUGUUCAAUAUACUUUAAUAUUUCAGGUUCCAGUAGAGAAGGGGACAUUAUCAUAUUAAGCCCUCACUAUCUUAAUUAGACCAAAGUCAUUAACAACAAAAGUGUGGAAAAUCAACCUACCCUAAUGCACCCUGAUGUUGCAUAUCUACUGGAGCAUACUAGCUUCAUUCUUCUCAAGUUUAUGCAUGUCUUCUACAUUCAGAGCCCAUGUCUCACUACCAUGGAGUAUAGCCAUUCAUACAUAAGCAUCAUACAACCUGUCUUUCACUCAGAGAGAGUCCUUUUGUUCCCAACAGCGAUAAUAGCUUUCUGAACUUCCUUCAUCCUAAUCUUAUUCUAGCAACAAUACUUUCAG